GGGGUUGUGGCUCAGUGGUAGAGUGCUUGCCUAGUAUGCAUGAAGCACUGGGUUCAAUUCUCAGCACCA
rnacentral:tRNA from 1 species